rnacentral:ncRNA from 1 species
AAAGGUUUGGUCUUAGCCUUAAUGUUAAUUAUAAUUAAAACUACACAUGCAAGUUUCCGCUGCCCUGUGAGAAUGCCCUUAAAACUAAAUUAAGUAAAGAGGAGCUGGUAUCAGGCACACUAAUAGUAGCCUACUACACCUUGCUAAACCACACCCCUACGGGAUACAGCAGUGACUAAAAUUAAGCCAUGAACGAAAGUUCGACUAAAUUAUAAUUAUAUUAAGGGUUGGUAAAUCUCGUGCCAGCCACCGCGGUCAUACGAUUAACCCAAAUUAACAAACAAACGGCGUAAAGCGUAUUAAAGCAUAUAACUAAAAUAAAGCUAAUACUUAACUAAGCUGUAACACGUUAUAGUUAAUACUAAAAUAUACAAUUAAAAUGGCUUUAAUCCACAGCUGAUACAUACGACAACUAAGGUACAAACUGGGAUUAGAUACCCCACUAUGCUUAGUCGUAAACUUAAAUAAUUUAAUAACAAGAUUAUUCGCCAGAGAACUACUAGCCAUAGCUUAAAACUCAAAAGACUUGGCGGUGCCCUAAACCCAUCUAGAGGAGCCUGUUCUAUAAUCGAUAAACCCCGAUAUACCCAACCCUAUCUUGCCAAUACAGCCUAUAUACCGCCAUCGUCAGCCCACCUUAAAAAAGCUAAACAGUAAGCAAGAUUAUUAUUCCAUAAAAACGUUAGGUCAAGGUGCAGCAUAUGAUAAGGGAAAGCAAUGGGCUACAUUCUCUAAACUAGAGAAUCAACGAAUCACAUUAUGAAACUAAAGUGCUUGAAGGAGGAUUUAGUAGUAAAUUAAGAAUAGAGAGCUUAAUUGAAAUAGGCAAUAGGGCGCGCACACACCGCCCGUCACCCUCCUCGAUUUAACUAAUCAAAUAUUACUAAUAUUUUAAUCUAUACUUAAAGAGGAGAAAAGUCGUAACACGGUAAGUGUACUGGAAAGUGCACUUGGAAUA